ACCUUUCUAGUACUAAAGCUAGUGCAUGUGACUUCCAAUCACCAAGUCUUGGUUAAAACCCAAGGAAAGGUA
rnacentral:tRNA from 1 species